CGUCCUCGAUCUGCUGCGGACAGAUAUAGUGGAUAUGGCUGUCGAAGCCGCCGGCGGUGACGAUCUUGCCCUCACCGGCGAUGACCUCGGUGCCCGGGCCGACGAUGAUGGUCUCGGCCGGGUCGAAAUUGCCGAAGCCGCCCUGGAUGUCCGGGUUACCAGCCUUGCCGAUGGCGCAGAUGCGCCCUGCCCUGAUGCCGAUAUCGGCCUUCACGAUACCCCAAUGGUCGAGGAUCAGCGCGUUGGUGAUGACGGUGUCGACGGCGCCGUCGGCGUUGCGGACCUGGCUCUGGCCCAUGCCGUCGCGGAUG
rfam:Bosea sp. Root381 contig_1, whole genome shotgun sequence.